ACCAAAAGAUAAAUUCCUCCAGCUCAAUAUUCCUUGAAAGUUCACUCAUACUCCUUGUUGUCAGAAGCUGAAGAAUAUGAAAGUGGUGCCUUCGAAUCCAACAGCUUCAAAGACCAGGUGUCCACCCAUGCAUUCCUUAAAUUUUCAGUAAGCAGAUUACCAAAAAGGAAUCCUGGACAAAAAUAUUUAGCAUUGGAUACCUCCUUAGUUUAAAAAAUGUUGUGCGCAAGGGCUGCUAAUGGUAAAGAUAACCGACCAUUUCAUUGAAGGAUGCAACAUAAAUUGUUUAUAGAAGCUUGCCUCAAGAUCAAGUGGGUGGAUUCAAUUUUGGAUAUCAAAGAGGAUUAAGGGAAUGCGUAUAUCCAUUUUCCAUUAUAUAGUAAAGCAUUAAUAAUCUACUAAUCCCUCCAAUUCAUAUGAAAGCAUGUUCAACUUAAGAAAAUGCGCUAAACUGUAAAAGUUUGAGAGCUCAUGCAUGUGGAAAUGUAGUCACACUCUUAGACCAAGUAGACUUUGAAGUAGAUGUGGAUUUUGCCUGUGCAGGAAUGAUGUCCAAGGGGUGCGAUGUUCAGAAAUUCCAGGGACGGUAAUUUUAUUGCUCUUAUUAGGUG